rnacentral:rRNA from 1 species
AAUUAUUUAUUUGAUGGUUUCUUACUACAUGGAUAACCGUAGUAAUUCUAGAGCUAAUACAUGCGUUAAAGUCCCGACUCUCGCGGGGAGGGAUGUAUUUAUUAGAUUAAAAACCAAUGCGGCCUCUGGCCGGUUUUGUGUUGAUUCAUAGUAACUUUUCGGAUCGCAGGGCUUCACGCCGGCGACAGUUCAUUCAAAUUUCUGCCCUAUCAGCUUUCGACGGUAGUGUAGUGGACUACCGUGGCAUUUACGGGUGACGGAGAAUUAGGGUUCGAUUCCGGAGAGGGAGCCUGAGAAACGGCUACCACA